rnacentral:rRNA from 1 species
CCUACGGGUGGCAGCAGUGGGGAAUAUUGCACAAUGGGCGAAAGCCUGAUGCAGCGACGCCGCGUGAGUGAAGAAGUAAUUCGUUAUGUAAAGCUCUAUCAGCCGGGAAGAAAAUGACGGUACCUGAGUAAGAAGCCCCGGCUAACUACGUGCCAGCAGCCGCGGGAAUACGGAGGGGGCAAGCGGUAUCCGGAUUUACUGGGGGUAAAGGGAGCGUAGACUGGAGUGCAAGUCUGGAGGGAAAGGUGUGGGCUCAACCCCCGGAGUGCUCUGGAAACUGCACGGCUGGAGUGGAGGAGAGGUAAGUGGAAUGCGUGGUGUAGCGGUGAAAUGCGUAGAUAUUAGGAGGAACACCAGUGGCGAAGGCGGCUUACUGGAGUGUAACUGACGUUGAGGCUCGAAAGCGUGGGGAGCAAACAGGAUUAGAUACCCCUGUAGUC